ACUACGGGAGGCAGCAGUGGGGAAUAUUGCACAAUGGGGGAAACCCUGAUGCAGCGACGCCGCGUGAGUGAAGAAGUAUCUCGGUACGUAAAGCUCUAUCAGCAGGGAAGAAAAUGACGGUACCUGACUAAGAAGCUCCGGCUAACGACGUGACAGCAGCCGCGGUAAUACGUAGGGGGCAAGCGUUAUCCGGAUUUCCUGGGUGUAAAGGGAGCGUAGACGGAAGCACAAGUCUGGAGUGAAAUCCCGGGGCUUAAUCCCGGAAAUGCUUUGGAAACUGUGCGGCUGGAGUGCCGGAGGGGUAAGCGGAAUUCCUAGUGUAGCGGUGAAAUGCGUAGAUAUUAGGAGGAACACCGGUGGCGAAGGCGGCUUACUGGACUGUAACUGACGUUGAGGCUCGAAAGCGUGGGGAGCAAACAGGAUUAGAUACCCUGGUAGUC
rnacentral:rRNA from 1 species